rnacentral:rRNA from 1 species
UACGUAGGGUGCGAGCGUUGUCCGGAAUUAUUAGGCGUAAAGGGCUCGUAGGCGGUUUGUCGCGUCGGGAGUGAAAACCUCGGGCUUAACUCGGGGCUUGCUUUCGAUACGGGCAGACUAGAGGUAUGCAGGGGAGAACGGAAUUCCUGGUGUAGCGGUGAAAUGACGCAGAUAUCAGGAGGAACACCGAUGGCGAAGGCAGGUCUCUGGGCCACUACUGACGCUGAGAAGCGAAAGCAUGGGGAGCGAACAGG